rnacentral:rRNA from 1 species
AACGAACGCUGGCGGCAUGCUUAACACAUGCAAGUCGAACGAGACCUUCCGGUCUUGGUGCGCACGGGUGCGUAACACGUGGGAACCUGCCCUUGGGUUCCCUAUACCUCCCCGUAAGGUGUGCUAAUACCACAUAAUCUCUUCCGACCAAAGAUUUAUCGCCUCUGGGUGGGGCCGCGUUAGAUUAGCGAGUUGGUAGGGUAAAAGCAUCCCAAGGCGUGGAUGCUUAGCUGGUAUGUGAGGAUGAUCAGCAGGAAUGGCACUGAGACACGGCCCAGACUGGUACGGAAGGGAGCGGUAGAGAAUAUAGGGCGAUGAAGGAAAGCGUGACAAAGCAGUGCCGGGUGAGAGAGGAAGGCGUUAGGGUUGUAAAGUUCUUUUACACGGAAUGAUAAUGACAGUACCGGGAGAAGAAGCACCGGCUAACUACGUG